UACCCAACAGCAUUAGCUUGAGUGUGACAUUACUCUUAUGUGAGUUAUGGGCGUGGCUACUGUUAUUAUUCUGGUUUAUGACAUCAGUUCCACAAGAGAUUAUUGAUUUUUAAUGGCUAAUUUUGCGUUUACAUUUAUACAAGUUUCUUUUCUUUCAUAUAUGAUCUCUAUUUUCUUUUAUAUGUUUUCUUUUAUUUCAUUAAGAUGUGAUAGAUGUGUGUGUAACUUUUACUAACGUUGGAGAACAUAUACUCAUGAGCAUUUAAAGGAAAAUAUUCAUAUCAUCUAACAUAUACUCAUAAGCAUUUAAAGGAAGAUGUUCAUGUAAUCCAAAGGACAUUCUUAAGGUAUAACUAAACUGUUAGAAAUGCAUAAGUAAUGUAAGCUUAGUGUGAGGACAUAAUGUUCUGUGUUUAACAAAGAAGCAAGCAGCAUGGAAACAUUUUAAUAGCUCAUUGUAUCUCAAGUGUGAGUUAUAUUUGUGCAGGGUUUUGAUCAAACAAAAGAUAAACAAGAACUUGCACCCAAGAGAUAAAUUGAGGUGUGAAGCUGUAUUUGAACAUAGGAAACUUAACACAAACGUCAUUGUGCUGUCCAAAUUAAAUAUACGGUCUACAAGAAUAGUCAAGGGCAGCGCAAACAGGUUUCCUUGCUAGAUGGUGUAAGAGACAAUCGGUAGCAAAACCAGACCUAGCCUGCAUGGGUUCCUGGGUUUUCAGGUAUAUAAGGAUGAUGAGAAGGACUAGCCUUCGCCUUCACAUGUAGACACUGUUCUGUAUGUUGAACGCCAAAAAAGAUUGGAUGUGUUUUCUUGCAAGAAAAUAAACUUUUGAUACUUUGA